GUGAGGACUGAGUGGAAAGAUCGACGUGAAAUGCAAGCACUGGUUAAGGGUCUGCUCACCCGGGGCCUGGCUGGAGGGAUCCCGGCGGACACUCCACUGAGGAUGGCAGUCUCCAGGGCAAAGCAGGACAGGAUUUCAGCUGCUAGAACCUCGAGAUCUCUUUUUUCCCCUAACCAAGUCCAACUUGCUCUCCCACUCUGAAAAUGGACAUCUCUCAAAAUCAAAGGUAAUGCCUCAGCUGAGAACCCUACUGAAAGCCAAGUAUAAACAUGGAUGUUGCUUGCAAAACCA